rnacentral:rRNA from 1 species
CAUUAUCAUACAAACAAGAGGUGUCAGGGCUGUCGCUGACCCAANGGGUCGUGCACGCUCUGGGCAUCCUCACACAAUCCACUUCACCUUUGUGCAUCAUCGCGUGGGGUUCCCCCUUUUCAUUCCAAAAGGGGCCCACGUUUUUCACACAGACGCUGUAGUUAUAGAAUGCUUUUGUUUUGCAGUCACAUGCAACCAAAUAUAACUUUCAACAACGGAUCUCUUGGCUCUCGCAUCGAUGAAGAACGCAGCGAAAUGCGAUACGUAAUGUGAAUUGCAGAAUUCAGUGAAUCAUCGAAUCUUUGAACGCAUCUUGCGCCCCUUGGCAUUCCGAGGGGCACACCCGUUUGAGUGUCAUGAAACUCUCAACCCUUCUCCCUUUCUUGUCGAACCGGGAGGAUGGCUUGGACUUUGGAGGCUUCUGCCGGUUCCCAUCGGCUCCUCUUAAAGGAAUUAGUAGGGUCUCGUUUGCCGAUCCUUGACGUGAUAACGUUUGACGUCAUUUUGAGAGGCAGAGACUUUGCUUCCAACGGUCUCAUCAAGGGACACCGGUGAGAUUGAAAGAUCCCACCAAACCCCAUUGACCUCAAAUCGGGUGAGACUACCCGCUGAACUUAAGCAUAUCAAUGAGCGGAGGAAAAGAAACUAACAAGGAUUCCCCUAGUAACUGCGAGUGAAGCGGGAAAGGCUCAAAUUUAAAAUCUGAUGGUCUUUGAUCAUCCGAGUUGUAAUCUAGAGAAGCGUCUUCCGCGCCGGACCAUGCAUAAGUCUCCUGGAACGGAGCGUCAUAGAGGGUGAGAAU